rnacentral:lncRNA from 1 species
GGGAAGCGGGAGGUGCGCUUUCCUUCCUAUUCAACGCAUAAGUCGCUGAAUAGGAGCUCCCAUAUGUAGCUAGGAGGAGGCUGAAACCGGCACCAAGCUCUUCUCUCCCACCUCUGUCUCUCUUCUUCAAUUCCCUCCAUGCUACCCGUGCAUCUCGAAUUAACUACCUCUUGAUUGGUUAGCAAGUGGGACGCUAACAUGAAUGGUAAUUAAAAUUCAUAUAUCAUAUGACCAGACACCACUCCCUGAACAAGACCCAUACCUAAUUGAAUUUCUGUUGAUCAAUUAUCAAUGUUGCAUGAGCAGUAAAACUAGUUAUGCAACAGCAUAAAGUGGAACAAAUGGUUGUCCAAAAGAGAGCUACAAAAGGGUUUUGCAAAGUGAUAAAAGUGCAAUCUGUUUGAUUACUUCGUCCUUUGAAUAAUCUUCAUGGCCUUUGUUCUAUAAAAAGGAAAAUCAAAGGGCAAUCGCAAUUGAGGUGGCCGGUUCCCAUGAUCGUUUCAUCAAAUUUUCAUUCAAAAAGAAAAGGUGCCUCUAGCUAGGUAGUAGCCUAUCCAGAAGACGCGCCGGACGUCAAAAGAUACAGCAGAUCCUUCGGAUCGAGGUUGGGCGUCGGAGGGCCCCUCUCUUUGAAACCAUGAAGGUCAGGCGUACAAGUUGGACUAGAUGCACAUGAAGAUUUCACGCGAGUUCUGACAUGGUUAUUAUCGUCGUGUUAAGCAAACAGAGUGGUGUCGCCUCUACCGACUUAUUAGCAGUGGUCUCCAGUGAGUCCACUCCCUGAAACAGAACACUCUCGGUUAGCUGUGCGUGUGGGCACUCCAAGUUCACAAGCAAAAUCUAUUGUUGACUUUUUUUUUUGAAAAGGAGGAUGACCUUCGGCCUCUGCAUCUGGGCGAUGCAUGCGGCCACAAAUCUAUUGUCGACUGAUUUGGCACCUACUGAAAUAACUGAAACUUGCCAAGUUUUUGCUGAAAUUUCAUGGAAAGCCAGAACCAUCACAUCAUGCCUUAUAGGCUGCUGUGCGUAGAUACUACACUACAGUAUAAUCAAUACAUUCAUAAGGGUUUGGCAUGGCAUGAUUCUUUCCACAUACGUAUAUCCGACUCAUGGCACACUCAUACACGCCACCUCACUCAUUGGCCGAAUCCAUGCCAAUCCAAACAGCAAGAUUUCCCCUAUAAUAUUACCCGAAAUCUCAAAAGUGCACGCGCACUUUUUUGCGAGACCGAGCGGCCCGCUGUAAACCGCACGAUUUCAAUCACACGCAUUCAUUCCCACUUUAGGUGUCAUCUGGUCGGGAGCCCACCCACCCGUCAUCCCACUCCGGCCAGUCGGCCGAGCCCACCAUCCACCCUGUUGUCUCUCGCAUCUUCCCAAAUUCAUCUGGAUCCAAUCGCCGCCAGCUCCUCCGAGCGCCUCCUCCGAGCGCGGCCCUCACCAGAUCCACAUGACCGCAUCCACAUGCUGGCCUCCUCCUCUGGCCCGACCCCGAGAUCCCCCACCCGGACCCUCCCCGGCGACGAUGCGGUCUAGGCCGCCGUGGAGCCAUGGAUCCAGGCCAUGGCCCUCCCUGCUCGUCCCUCCAUCCCCUCUACAACGGUGAAGACGAGGCCCUAGCACUCGCCUCCCCCACGAGCUCCAGGUAUGAGGUCCAAGACCCGCCUCAUCUGGAUCGGGCCACGGUGUCGCGCCACCACCACGUGAACCCGGCUGCCUCCUCCGCCAUUGACGACAUCCACACGGACGGCCGUGCACCACCAACACCACCACCUCUCCCCCCGACAAUCGGCUACAUGGAGGUCGUGUGGGUGCUCCCUGCGGCCUCUCCUCUCUCUCUCCAUAGUUGCAAUGGAUGCCUGGAAAAGAAUUAAGAACAUGUACGAGCAAGCUAAGCGAUCAACAGAAUCCUGAUGCAGUACUGACCAAUCCUUACUGUGUAUCUCAAUUCAGAAACAUCAUUUGCUUUUUUGUUUCUGGUAUUUGAUCUGAUGCAUCUAUACCUGACAUGGGAUUAUUCUGCAUUUGGUACAUCAAUUUCUAUUUUAAGUUGCUAUGCUCGACCGUCCAACUGAGUAAUUUGAUUGUCGUAUUCUUGCUUGGUAGGUUAUCUCAUUCCUGAGGGGAACAGCGUUUGAGCAGCCGCUGCCGGAUUUGGUAUCGUUCCUUUACAAGAACAGGAUCAUGUACCUGGCCGUCACUAGGCUCCUCAUUGGAGCGAUCAAUUUUGCGCCUGGAUCUAAUGCUCUCUCACCUUUAUUUCUCUGAUCUACGAUCUUACAUGUUGUAGUGCCUUUUUUUGAGUAAACUGUGAAAUACUACUAGUCUAGUUGCACUAUAGUAGUCUCGGUUGAAUAUAAUUAUCGGGAAGUUGCACAAUACGGUGAUAUUAAAUUGGCUAGAUGAUGUUUUCGCUUAAGUUAAUUUAUUUUUGCUAGUCACAUUUUGGUUGGCAUCCACAAUAGUUGUAGUUGCACACAUGAUAUCUCACGCUUGUAUUACUUAAGUAUAGUUAGACACGCGACCAACUACUACUGUAAACUGGAAGAAUGUUGCACACGCACGACCAUGAAGUUGCUCACUCUCGUUGGUAUAGUCGCACACGUGCGACCGCUUGAAAUAAGUGUUUUCUUUAGUCAGCUAACACUAUAACGCUUGUAUGUUCUGUAAAUUAUCAAUCUUGAAUUUUCUGAAGAGCAUAGAAAGAGUUGCACAACCAUAUUUUCAGAGUUGCACAUUGACUACCAUGCAGUUGGUCAGGGCUGUUGUCAAAGUUGCACAUCCUACUGGUAGGGAUUUGCUUAAGUCAAUCUAUUUUUGCUAGUCACAUUUUUUGUUGGCAUCUGCAGUAUUGUAGUUGCGCAUAUAGUAGUUCUCGGUUGGAUAUGACUAUGAAAACUUGUACAACACUACUAUAAACUGAAAGCAUGUCGUCCUACAAGUAGGCCUCAUCGCCCACCUUUUUUGCAACUAGGCAGGUCCCCUUAUCCAAGUUGUUUUGAAUGGUUGGUGAAGGAGAGGUGCACAAUACCAUCCAACUAGUUGACAUCCUCAGUCUUUUUGUAGCUACAUUGACACCCUCAACAUUUUCUUCUAGAAGCCUGAAACCUGAAUGUGCAAUUUUUUGAUUGGUCAUGCAAGUGUUGAAUAUUUCUUUUACCAAGACUAUCUAAUUAAUUGGCAUCCUUAAGAUUUAUAAUUGCACAAGAGUAUUCAAUUAGUUGGCAUCCACAACAUUUCUACUUGCACAAACAGUAUCCAACUAAUUGACAUCUUCAGCCUUUCUAGUUACACAAGAAUAACUAUUUUUUAGUCCCAUCUUCAAAUUUUUGAGGGUUGCCCAAGAGUAUCUAAUGACUUGGCACCCUCAACCUUACUAGUUUCACAUGAGUAUUUAAUUAGUUGGCAUCCUGAGCAUUUUCUAGUUACACAAUAGCAUCUAACUAGUUGACAUCCUCAACCUUUCUAGUUGCACAAGAGUAACUAUUUCAGUUGGCAUCCACAUUUUGUAGUUGCACAACUAACAUAAUAUCGAGUUGGCAUCGUCAACCUUUUUUAUCCGGUUUUUCUGAAGAAAAACAAAUAUUUUGUGUGUAGUGUUAACUAAUCACCUUUGGCUCCUUUUGUUUUGCAAAACCGCGGGUUAUCACGUCGGAAUGUGAUCACCUUUGGCACCUUUUUCUGAUGACAAGAAAAAAGAAUUUCGUCUUCUUUUCUGUUUCACUUUUAGUAACAUCCUAUAGAACAUAUUCCCCCUAUUGCAAUUUGUGAGACAAGCCUAUUUGUACGCUCGUUUUUAAUACUGUUCGUGUGCGUUUUCUAGUCUGGUUUCUUUGCUGCACACAUUUACAGCAAAAGUUGGGCUUUGGAUACAAGUUUAGUUGCACAGUUAUAUGUUUAUAUUUGCAGACAGCAAACCCAGUCUUUUUUAGUUUCAUCUAGUCUGUGUGUUGGUUGUACACAUUUUUUGCAGGAAAAGAUGGACUGAAUGUAGUGUCUAUGCAAAUAGAAGCCCAUAUUUGUGCCAACUAAACAUGAAUCCAAAACCAUCUUUUCCUUCAAUGUGUGCAACCAACAACCAAAAGAUUCGAACAGAUGGUCUCCAGUCUGGGCUGUUUUGUUGCACAUUUACAUAAAAAGGUUGGCUUGGACCCAUGCUUAGUUGCACAAAUAUGUUUAGAAACAGUACAACCAGUCCAUCUUUCUAGUUUGGGAUGUUUUUUUUGCACACAUGUUGCAGGAAAGUUGUUUAUGGACCAAUGGCUUAGUUGCACAAAUAUGUGCUUCUUUUUGCACAAACAGUACACCCAGUCCAUCUUUCUAGUCUGGGCUGUUUGUUGCAUAUAUUUUACAGGAAAGUUGUCCUUGGAUUAAUGCUUAGUGUGCACAUAAUAUUUACUCCUUUAUAGUUUUGGUUGUUGGUUGCACACAUUGCAGGAAAAGUUGGCUAGGAUACAUGAUUUAGUUGCACAAAUAUGGGCUUAUAUUUGCACAGACACUACAUCCACUUCAUAUUUCUAGUCUGGGUUGUUUGUUGCACAUUUUUUUUGCAAAACUACUCCCUUGUGUCUAUUUGCGCACAUCCAGGCAGAAGUUGGUUUUGCUACUGGGUCUACUUGCACAGAGUGGUGUUUAAUUACACAGACAACAGAUUACUGUUGCUACUCCCUCCAAUUAUGGAGAAGAUCGGUGGUAGAUCCAGAGGCAAAGGGGAAGGGAAAGUGAAAAAGGGAGGAUCUGGAGCCAGAAGGGAACUUACCUUGAUUGAUGCUGCCUGGUACGCCUCUCUCCUCCCUCUUGUUACCACUUCAGUUCUUGCCAAAAAAAAUCACCUUGUUUGGUUUGCCAUAGCGGCUCUGUAGGUUUUUGGAUCCAGGAUGGGAUCCCCUUUUAUUAUGGAGAAGAAGGAGACGCCGUGGAGGAGGAGGUGUGGGCGAGGGAGAUGUAGGAAGCUUCUGGAGGGUAGUGGGGUCACUCGAUAGCGACCGGGCAUGCUGUUUCUGUUUCGUGGUUUUCGCGUGUCGGAAGGACGCUUUCCUUUUUGGAAACUGGGGGAUGAAGUUUUCCUUAUCUGGCCGGCCGCUUGCGAGCGCAAGCGAGCCAAUGGCCAUCAGCCAGACGCGGGAGGUGAAAAAUGCACAUCCACGAGGUAGGGGGGGAUGCACAUCAACUAUUAGCAGUUGGCCGAGCGGCACAUGGAGUUGCACAUCGUCUACUAGGCAGGUGGACGAGACAACAGAUGAAGUUGCUCAUUACGUGAAGUUGGUUCAUGUAGGACUAAAAUUGCACCACACAGUAUUAUAGUUGAUUGCGGUAGCACAAACGUUGGUUUAAAAAAUAGUUGCAUCUCAUAGUAUAAAAGUUGCAUCAUCUAGUACAACCAGUUGGCAAUGAAAAAAGUUCAUCGAAACAUAUAUAAAUGGGGCCUAGUUUUAAAGAUCUCGUCGCGAGGGUUUCAACGAUGAAAACGAAUUUUAAUUUUGACAUGUAAUUCAAAAGUUAUAGCUUUUUGAAUUUUUUGGAAUGCAAUUAAUUGUCUUUUUUACUUUAUUACUGGCAUGUCAGAGCACAUGGAAAAGAAGUUGGGCCAGCAUAAAGGAAGUGCGUUGGGAGAUACUUUUCGAUUUUGGUCUUCUAGAAGUCAAGCGGACUUUCCUAAUCAGGAGAUGGGACAUAAAUUUUUCUAAUACAGCCGGCUGCCGAGGAGCGCUAGCGAGCGCACGGCUGCUCGCUAGACGCGUCCAUAAUAUUAUCCCCAUAGUGGGGUACUAACCACAUGUGAGAAAAGAGAUGCGUAUGUAUGUAGGGCGGUCAGGUCAUCUCUCACACACAAGCUCAUCAUCUGCCUCCUACAUAUCUAUCCUAUAUAUGAAGAGAAUGAGGUGACAAGACGCCGCCGCACUAAUUAUUGUGAGCCUCCUCCUAUCCACUCGCCUCGUCUCACUCCCGCUUCCAUUUCUUCUCCUCCGUCUGCUUCAUCACCAGAAAUUCACAUUCUUCCUUGUUCUUGCAGUGUCCAAGAGCUGGAUGGCAGUUCCAUGCCAGCCUCCGCAAGGAAGGAAUGAGCUGAUGGCAUACGAUGCCUGUGAUCCUACAGUGAGCGGAGCUGUCGACGACGUCCUCGUCGACGACGGGGUCGGGGAGGACCGCGACGGAGGCAAGGGCCCUGAAGGUCCACAGCGAGGCCGAGCGCCGGCGUCGGGUGAGGAUCAACGCUCAUCUCACGGCGCUCAGGAGGAUGAUCCCUGAUACCAAGCAGGUUUGCGCUAUCAAUAUCUUAGCCAUUUCACCAUUUCAGUGUUGUGAAGCAUCAACCAAACAAAGCUCAGCUGCACAUAAUUAUUGUCGUUAGCUGAUCAGCUUUUCUGGUAGAAACUAACUUUGCAUUAAGAAGUCUCUCUUCAAACAAUUCUGAUUGACCUUUAUGUCAGCACCAGACAUGAGCUUUUAUGAAGAAGAUCAUUGAAAACUCGCACAAAUGUUCACAUUUCAUCAGACUUUUCACCCUGAAAUUCUAUCUAUGAUAUAAGACAAAGUACAGCACCGCAGUAGACUGCUAUUAUGCGACUUGUCAGAAAAAUGUCUCUUGUCUUCCCUUCUGCAGAUGGACAAGGCCGCCUUGCUGGCCAGGGUGGUGGACCAAGUGAAGCAUCUGAAGCGGAGAGCAAGCGAGGCCGCACAGCUAAGGCCCGCCGUCCCGCCGGAGGCCGAAGAGGUCUCCGACGAAUUCUGCUGCACCGGGGACACGGACGACGACGAUAGACGCCUGUACAUUAAGGCGUCUGUCAGCUGCGACGACCGCCCGGACCUCGUCGCCGGGCUCAUCCAGGCGCUCCAUGGCCUGAGACUUUUACCCCCAUCCCUCUCUCUUCUUCGUCUUCCUCGCGCCGACCACUGCCGCAUGUGCUCUGCCGCCGUCGUCGACCUUCUCCAACAGCUCCAACCUGGCCGCUGCAUCAACCUGACCUUGACCAGAGAUCGCGGCGCCACUCCGCUGUCCGUCAAGCACCACCAGGUACUCGCUUCUCCUCAUUUCCAAUCUGCAUUAGGCUGCCCUAGUUCGUCGGGGGACGAUGUGUUCGUCCAAGUUCAUCCUAUCUUUUCCAUCUACGCUUAGUUCAAUCCAAAAGCAGUACUGAAGUUGUGCGGUAGCAGUUCUAGCAUCUUCUUCCAAUCGUAGAUGUAUCCCCUUUCCCUGAGAUUCAUUCCCAGCUCGCAUGUUUUUCCACUGCCAUAUUUAGGUUUAGUAAUUAUUCAUCCUUUUCUGAACUACCAAACGCAUAUGCCUGCGUUGGCUACAUUUCAUAUUGGGCCGACCCAAGGAGGCUUGUAUGGUAGAGUCUCUAUUCCGGCAUUAUGAAUUUUUGUCAAAUUUGGGAACAAUUUUGAAGUUUGUUAACAUUUUGAACAAUUUUAAAAAUUCAUGAACAUUUUUGGAAUAUUCAAACAUAUUUUCGGAAUCAUGAAUUUUUUUAUUUCCCAAACUUUUUUUCGAAAUCAUGAAAUUUUUUCAAUAUCUAUUUUUUUUAAAAAAUCACGAACAUUUUUGAAUCCACGAACAAUUUUGGAAUUCACAAACAUUUUAUGAUAUCUCAAACAUUUUUUUCAAAAUUUGCAUUUAAAAAUGGAAGUUUUUUGAAAUCUCAGAUUAUUUUAAAGAGUAAAAAAUGAAAAAAAAAGGGGGCGUCCCACCCCGCACAUUGGUUGGCCAAAAAAACACGUGCGGGGGAAGCGGGAGGUGCGCUUUCGUUCCUAUUCAACGCAUAAGUUGCUGAAUAGGAGCUCCCAUAUGUAGUUAGGGAGGAGGCUGAAACCGGCACCAGGCUCUUCUCUCCCACCUCCGUCUCUCUUCUCCGAUCCCCUUCAUGCUACCCCUGCAUCUGGAAUUAGCUACCUCAAACUCCGUAAUCUUGUUAUGUUGAUUGGUUAGCAAGUGGGACGCUAACACGAACGGUAAUUAAAAUUCAUAUAUUAUAUGGCCAGACACCACUCCCUGAACAAGACCCGUACCUAAUUGAAUUGCAGCUGAUCAAUUAUCAAUGUUGCGUGAGCACUAAACUAGUUAUACAACAACAUAAAGUGGAAACAAACGGUUGUUCAAAAGAAGAGCUGCAAAAGGGUUUCCCAAAGUGAUAAAAGUGCAAUCUCUUUGAUCACUUUGGCAAAUCGUAAUGUUCAUGGCCUUUGUU